rnacentral:rRNA from 1 species
UACGGGGGGGGCAAGCGUUGUUCGGAAUUACUGGGCGUAAAGGGCUCGUAGGCGGCCAACUAAGUCAGACGUGAAAUCCCUCGGCUUAACCGGGGAACUACGUCUGAUACUGGAUGGCUUGAGUUUGGGAGAGGGAUGCGGAAUUCCAGGUGUAGCGGUGAAAUGCGUAGAUAUCUGGAGGAACACCGGUGGCGAAGGCGGCAUCCUGGACCAACACUGACGCUGAGUGAGCGAAAGCCAGGGGAGCAAACGGG